UUCUUCCUAAGCCCCGAUAGUUCUCAUUCUCUCUUCUCUCUUCUCUCUUCUAUCUCUUGUCUCUCGCGUCUACCUCUCUCCACCUUCCCACCUCGUCGCCUUGCCUUCGCCACGGCCAUAGACAGAGAAACUCUGUCUCUCGUGUCUCCCUCUCUCACGCUCUCUCUCUCCUUCCUCUCCUGUCUCUCUCUCCUCCCUUCUUCUAGUUUAGAGGGAUUUGGGUUUUAAUUUUAGGGUUACUGAUUUGGGUUUUAAUCUAAACCAUUUGGGUGUUGGCUUGCAGAGUGAGAGAGACAGAGACAGAUUGGAAGAGGAGGGAAUCGCAAUUGGUUUAUCAGGUUGGGGCUUUGAGAAGCUCUGCCUGCAAUUGGCGUUGUGGUUGAAACGACUCUUUCCUGGCUCGAUUUAGAAAGAAGUAAAAAUGUUCAAGAACACAUUUCAAUCCGGAUUUCUGUCAAUUCUAUACAGCCUUGGGAGCAAACCGUUGCAGAUUUGGGAUAAAGAAGGACUCGGUUUUGGCUUAACAAAAUGUAAAAGCCGUUGAUGAAAUUUUGAGAUGCUUGUUAAAUUCAACUUGUUUCAAAUAUCAAUUUGUUGAUGACCAUAUUAAAAGACCACAGGAUGAAGACAUACAAUCCAAUGUCCUUGAGAUUGGUAUGAACAUCCAGUCCACAUACAUUACUUGCCCAGCAGACCCAUCAGCUACACUUGGUAUAAAACUUCCAUUCCUGGAUAUGUUGUAAAGAAUCUGAAGAAGUAUUUCACAUUUGAGAUUCAAGUUCUGGAUGACAAGAACGUCAGGAGACGUUUUCGAGCUUCCAAUUUUCAAGUGUGUAAGUUUGCCCAUGUUUAUUGAUGUUUAUCAAUUGCAUAAUGGUUGUUUUUGUUGUUCUCUUUUCUUUUCCUUUCCGUUGGUAUUUCAGGGCAUGUUCAGGUAAGUAAUGAAGGAUGCUGCAUUUGUGUUUCUCAAAGAUGUAUCUAUUUCACUAGCAAGUCUAAGCUUCUUUUGUUGUCUCUGAAGAUCUAUGUAGUGUAAAAUUGAUCAUAUUUCAGGCCGACUUUUUUGUUACUUUUUACAGUUGCAUUAUGAGCAUAUUAAUUAACUAUGCCUGAUGUCUUGCAUUUAUUGGACAUGUAUAUACUUGAAGGGAAAAUCAUGUACCAAGGUUGUAGGGGAAUCUAGCUUCUAGAUAUGCCAUUGGCAGCUUCAGGAAUCAGGAGGAAAAAAAUUCAUUGAUGUUGACCUGAGAUUGCCUACUAUUUUGAGUCGAGCAGUGCAGGAUGCAAAACUCAUUGACCACUCCAGUAGAUUGUUGCUUAAUGAUUCGUAGUUUAGUAUAUUGUUAUUCUUCUGUCUUCUGAGUUUUAUCAGUGAACAUUUUUCAUAUUGUUGUAAUUGAACCAAUUUUGAAAUUGUAAGGUUCUAAUACUUUUCAUAUUGAAAUAUGAAUACAUCAUUGUUCUGCCUA